CACAAAUCUAGAGCUUAAAAAAGUCAGGAAGUCUAUGGAGCUAGACAAGGGAAAACCGGGAAAAACCAAAGGAAUAAGAAAGCAACAGUGAAAGUGGGGCUGAGCCGACUCCUCCCGGCGCCGCCGCGGCCCAUUCCCGAUGGGAAUGCCGGGAAUGUCACCCUUGGUGGAGGGUUGCAGGGUGAAUCCCUUAGGAUCCGUGGCUGCGGUGGAAUGAAGCGGGAGGGAAGCGGCGGCGUUUGGGGUGGGAAAAGGGGAUUUUUGGGAACAUGCAACCCCGGAAUGGCGGGAUUCCAA